UACGGAGGGUGCGAGCGUUGUCCGGAAUCAUUGGGCGUAAAGGGCGCGUAGGCGGCUUUUCAAGUCGGGGGUGAAAGCCUGUGGCUCAACCACAGAAUUGCCUUCGAUACUGUUAGGCUUGAGACCGGAAGAGGUGAGUGGAACUGCGAGUGUAGAGGUGAAAUUCGUAGAUAUUCGCAAGAACACCCGUGGCGAAGGCGGUUCUCUGGGACGGUACUGACGCUGAGACGCGAAAGCGUGGGGAGCGAACAGG
rnacentral:rRNA from 1 species